rnacentral:rRNA from 1 species
GACGAACGCUGGCGGCGUGCUUAACACAUGCGAGUCGAACGGAAAGGCCCUGCUUUUGUGGGGUGCUCGAGUGGCGAACGGGUGAGUAACACGUGAGUAACCUGCCCUUGACUUUGGGAUAACUUCAGGGAACUGGGGCUAAUACCGGAUAGGAGCUCCUGCUGCAUGGUGGGGGUUGGAAAGUUUCGGCGGUUGGGGAUGGACUCGCGGCUUAUCAGCUUGUUGGUGGGGUAGUGGCUUACCAAGGCUUUGACGGGUAGCCGGCCUGAGAGGGUGACCGGCCACAUUGGGACUGAGAUACGGCCCAGACUCCUACGGGAGGCAGCAGUGGGGAAUAUUGCACAAUGGGCGGAAGCCUGAUGCAGCAACGCCGCGUGCGGGAUGACGGCCUUCGGGUUGUAAACCGCUUUCGCCUGUGACGAAGCGUGAGUGACGGCAAUGGGUAAAGAAGCACCGGCUAACUACGUG